ACAGACCUUCCGGGAAAGCGCGGAAUUCAGAGGCAGAGUGUUUCCAAUGUUUGAGGUACUUUAGAAUGUUUACUUUGGGAGGUCAAAAUUGUUGACUAUGGCUAACUGUUCCCAAGAAGAGCUAGAUGAAGAGUUUGAACAGUUUAUGAAAGAGCUUUCAGAUGAUUCUUUUGAAAAUUCAGACAAAACAGCUAGACAAUCUAAAAAAGAGAUGAAGAAGAAAGAUACAGUGCCUUGGUGGAUAACUGAAGAUGAUUUUAAAGAUGAUGGCAUUAUUAUGAAAAGGCAAGACGUGAUUCCUGUAUCAAGAGUGUAGAACCUUCUGAGGGAGAAUUCAACACUCCUCUUGAGAAGAGGAAUGCAUUAUUAAUCUUAAGACAGGACUUCUUGGAACAAAUGUGAGCUAUUUGAAAACAAAGAAGACUUCUCAGCCUGUUAUGGAAAUAGAAGAGGAGUCUGCUGAAAAGAUUCAAUUUCUUAAGAGCAGUGGAACCUCUCUCUUAAGUACUGAUAGCUUAGAAACAAAUGAACUAGUAGUUUCUGAGCUCAACCAUAGUAGUCUCGGAGUGGGAUUGGACACAUUAGA
rnacentral:lncRNA from 10 species